rnacentral:rRNA from 1 species
GGGAGCAAUCCUGGUGGCGAGUGGCGAACGGGUGAGUAAUAUAUCGGAACGUGCCCAGUCGUGGNGGGAUAACGCAGCGAAAGCUGUGCUAAUACCGCAUACGAUCUAUGGAUGAAAGCGGGGGAUCGCAAGACCUCGCGCGAUUGGAGCGGCCGAUAUCAGAUUAGCUAGUUGGUGGGGUAAAAGCUUACCAAGGCGACGAUCUGUAGCUGGUCUGAGAGGACGACCAGCCACACUGGAACUGAGACACGGUCCAGACUCCUACGGGAGGCAGCAGUGGGGAAUUUUGGACAAUGGGCGCAAGCCUGAUCCAGCAAUGCCGCGUGCAGGAUGAAGGCCUUCGGGUUGUAAACUGCUUUUGUACGGAGCGAAAAGGCUCUCUCUAAUACAGGGGGCUCAUGACGGUACCGUAAGAAUAAGCACCGGCAA